rnacentral:rRNA from 1 species
UACGAAGGGGGCUAGCGUUGCUCGGAAUCACUGGGCGUAAAGGGUGCGUAGGCGGGUCUUUAAGUCAGGGGUGAAAUCCUGGAGCUCAACUCCAGAACUGCCUUUGAUACUGAAGAUCUUGAGUUCGGGAGAGGUGAGUGGAACUGCGAGUGUAGAGGUGAAAUUCGUAGAUAUUCGCAAGAACACCAGUGGCGAAGGCGGCUCACUGGCCCGGUACUGACGCUGAGGUGCGAAAGCGUGGGGAGCAAACCGG